GUUAGGCUGCAUGAAAGUGCGGGGUAGGGGAGCGUUGUGUAAGCGGAGAAACAGUAGCGUAAGCGGCUGUGGAGUUUACAGAAGUGAGAAUGCCGGAAUGAGUAGCGCGAAUGUGGUGAGAAUCCACAUGGCCGGAAACCUCAGGUUUUUGGAGGAAGGUUCGUCCGCUCCAAGUUAGGCGGGAGCUAAGGUCAGGCCGAAAGGCGUAGCCGAUGCACAGACGGUAGAGAUUCCGUCCCCACCGAAAAAUUUAAGCACAGGGACACUUUUAGAAGGUCGGAGCCAGGUGUUGGUUCUGGUAGUGAUCGAGGGAAAUUUAGUACCGAAGUCCGGCUGGAUGAGAGGCGAGAAAAGCUGUGUGUAUAUCUAGGGUGCCCGUACCGCAAACCGACACAGGUAGGUAGGAAGAAGAUUCUAAGGCCAACGGGAGAAGGGUUGUUAAGGAACUCGGCAAGUUGACCCCGUAACUUCGGAAUAAGGGGUGCUCACGAGAGUGAGCCGCAGAGAAUAGGCCCAGGCAACUGUUUACCAAAAACACAGGUUUGUGCUAAAUCGAAAGAUGACGUAUACGAGCUGACGCCUGCCCGGUGCUGGAAGGUUAAAAGGAGAUGUGCAAGCAUUGAAUUGAAGCCCCAGUGAACGGCGGCCGUAACUAUAACGGUCCUAAGGUAGCGAAAUUCCUUGUCAGGUAAGUUCUGACCCGCAUGAAAGGCGUAAUGAUCUGGGCACUGUCUCAACAGCCCGCCCGGCGAAAUUGUAGUACCGGUGAAGAUGCCGGUUACCCGCGACAAGACGGAAAGACCCCAUGGAGCUUUACUGUAGCCUGAUAUUGGGUUUCGGUGUUGCAUGCACAGGAUAGAUGGGACGCUGGGAAAGAAGCGCUUUGGCGUUUCUGGAGCGGACGUUGGGAUACCAUCCUUGCGACAUUGGAAUUCUAACCUGCGCCUCUGAAUCGAGGCGGGGGACAUUGUCAGGUGGGCAGUUUGACUGGGGCGGUCGCCUCCUAAAAAGUAGCGGAGGCGUUCAAAGGUUCGUUCGAUCUGGACGGAAACCAGAUGAUUGAGUGCAAACGCAUAAACGAGCCUGACUGCGAGACUGACGGGUCGAGCAGAGACGAAAGUCGGAGUUAGUGAUCCGGUGGUAUGUGAGUGGAAAUGCCAUCGCUCAACGGAUAAAAGUUACCCUGGGAUAACAGGCUGAUCUCCCCCAAGAGUCCACAUCGACGGGGAGGUUUGGCACCUUGAUGUCGGCUCAUCGCAUCCUGGGGCUGAAUUCGGUCCCAAGGGUUUGGCUGUUCGCCAAUUAAAGCGGUACGGGAGCUGGGUUCAGAACGUCGUGAGACAGUUCGGUCCCUAUCUGUCGUGGGCGCAGGAUAUUUGCAAGGCGCUGUCCCUAGUACGAGAGGACCGGGAUGGACGAACCUCUGGUGCACCAGUUGUCACGCCAGUGGCACAGCUGGGCAGCUAUGUUCGGAUCGGAUAAACGCUGAAAGCAUCUAAGCGUGAAGCCGGCCUUAAGAUAAGAUAUCCCACUGAGUCAAUCAGGUAAGACCCCUUGGAGACUACAAGGUUGAUAGGCACACAGUGUAAGCGGAGUGAUCCGUUCAGCUAGCGUGUACUAAUAGGUCGAGGGCUUGACC
rnacentral:rRNA from 1 species